GAUGAACGCUGGCGGCGUGCCUAAUACAUGCAAGUCGAGCGAACAGACGAGGAGCUUGCUCCUCUGACGUUAGCGGCGGACGGGUGAGUAACACGUGGAUAACCUACCUAUAAGACUGGGAUAACUUCGGGAAACCGGAGCUAAUACCGGAUAAUAUAUUGAACCGCAUGGUUCAAUAGUGAAAGACGGUUUUGCUGUCACUUAUAGAUGGAUCCGCGCCGCAUUAGCUAGUUGGUAAGGUAACGGCUUACCAAGGCAACGAUGCGUAGCCGACCUGAGAGGGUGAUCGGCCACACUUGAACUGAGACACGGUCCAGACCCCUACGGGAGGCAGCAGUAGGGAAUCUUCCGCAAUGGGCGAAAGCCUGACGGAGCAACGCCGCGUGAGUGAUGAAGGUCUUCGGAUCGUAAAACUCUGUUAUUAGGGAAGAACAAAUGUGUAAGUAACUAUGCACGUCUUGACGGUACCUAAUCAGAAAGCCACGGCUAACUACGUG
rnacentral:rRNA from 1 species